rnacentral:rRNA from 1 species
CCUACGGGUGGCAGCAGUGGGGAAUAUUGCACAAUGGGGGAAACCCUGAUGCAGCGACGCCGCGUGAGUGAAGAAGUAUUUCGGUACGUAAAGCUCUAUCAGCAGGGAAGAAAAUGACGGUACCUGACUAAGAACCCCCGGCUCACUACGUGCCAGCAGCCGCGGUAAUCCGUAGGGGGCAAGCGUUAUCCGGAUUUACUGGGUGUAAAGGGAGCGUAGACGGCAGCGCAAGUCUGGAGUGAAAUCCCAGGGCUUAACCAUGGAACUGCUUUUGAAACUGUGCAGCUAGAGUGCAGGAGAGGUAAGUGGAAUGCGGGGUGUAGCGGUGAAAUGCGUAGAUAUUAGGAGGAACACCAGUGGCGAAGGCGGCUUACUGGACUGUAACUGACGUUGAGGCACGAAAGCGUGGGGAGCAAACAGGAUUAGAUACCCGUGUAGUC